UACGGAGGGGGCGAGUGUUAUUCAUAGUGAUUGGGCGUAAAGGGUACGUAGGCGGCUUCUCAAGCUUCCAUUUAAAUCCCACGGCGCAACUGUGGCAGCUGGAAGGACUGUUCGGCUACGAAUCUAGCAGAGGUUAGCGGUACCCUUAGAGUAAAGGUAAUAAUUGACGAUACUAAGGGGACCCCCAACAGCGAAGGCAGCUAACCGGGUUAGAUUGACGCUGAGGUACGGGGGCGUGGGUAUCAAACAGG
rnacentral:rRNA from 1 species